rnacentral:tRNA from 1 species
GCCCCUGUAGCUCAAUGGAUAGAGCACCGGACUUCUAAUCCGACGGUUGUGCGUUCGAGUCGCACCAGGGGCGCCU